rnacentral:rRNA from 1 species
UCUGGUGCCAAUGGCAAAGAGGUCACACCUGUUCCCAUGCCGAACACAGAAGUUAAGCUCUUUAGCGCCGAUGGUAGUC